CCUACGGGUGGCAGCAGUGGGGAAUUUUGGACAAUGGGCGCAAGCCUGAUCCAGCCAUUCCGCGUGCAGGAUGAAGGCCCUCGGGUUGUAAACUGCUUUUGUGAACCGGGCGGUACCGUAAGAAUAAGCACCGGCUAACUACGUGCCAGCAGCCGCGGUAAUACGUAGGGUGCAAGCGUUAAUCGGAAUUACUGGGCGUAAAGCGUGCGCAGGCGGUUAUGUAAGACAGGUGUGAAAUCCCCGGGCUUAACCUGGGAACUGCAUUUGUGACUGCAUAGCUAGAGUACGGUAGAGGGGGAUGGAAUUCCGCGUGUAGCAGUGAAAUGCGUAGAUAUGCGGAGGAACACCGAUGGCGAAGGCAAUCCCCUGGCCGUACUGACGCUAAUGCACGAAAGCGGGGGAGCAAACAGGAUUAGAUACCUUGUAGUC
rnacentral:rRNA from 1 species